CUGCUAAGACUGGAUAGGAAACAAAAAGGCAUCUUUUUGUUUUUAAAAGACCUUCUUAUGAAGGUAUGCUUAAAGAGGGGCUUGCGCCACAUUAGUUAGUUGGUAGGGUAAAAGCCUACCAAGACGAUGAUGUGUAGCUGGACUGAGAGGUUGAACAGCCACAUUGGGACUGAGACACGGCCCAAACUCCUACGGGAGGCAGCAGUAGGGAAUUUUCGGCAAUGGAGGAAACUCUGACCGAGCAACGCCGCGUGAACGAUGAAGUAUUUCGGUAUGUAAAGUUCUUUUAUUGAAGAAGAAAAAGUAGUGGAAAAACUAUAUUGANGUUAUUCAAUGAAUAAGCCCCGGCUAACUAUGUGCCAGCAGCCGCGGUAAGACAUAGGGGGCGAGCGUUAUCCGGAAUUAUUGGGCGUAAAGGGUGCGUAGGCUGUUAGAUAAGUCUAUAAUUUAAUUUCAGUGCUUAACGCUGUCUUGUUAUAGAAACUGUCUUGACUAGAGUGAGAUAGAGGCAAGCGGAAUUCCAUGUGUAGCGGUAAAAUGUGUAAAUAUAUGGAGGAACACCAGAAGCGUAGGCGGCUUGCUGGGUCUUUACUGACGCUGAGGCACGAAAGCGUGGGUAGCAAACAGGAUUAGAUACCCUGGUAGUCCACGCCGUAAACGAUGAGUACUAAGUGUCGGGGUAAAACUCGGUACUGAAGUUAACACAUUAAGUACUCCGCCUGAGUAGUACGUACGCAAGUAUGAAACUUAAAGGAAUUGACGGGACUCCGCACAAGCGGUGGAUCAUGUUGUUUAAUUCGAAGAUACACGAAAAAUCUUACCAGGUCUUGACAUACUCUGCAAAGCUAUAGAAAUAUAGUGGAGGUUAUCAGGGAUACAGGUGGUGCAUGGUUGUCGUCAGUUCGUGUCGUGAGAUGUUAGGUUAAGUCCUAAAACGAGCGCAACCCUUGUCGUUAAUUGCCAGCACGUAAUGGUGGGGACUUUAGCGAGACUGCCAAUUAAACAUUGGAGGAAGGUGAGGAUUACGUCAAAUCAUCAUGCCCCUUAUGAUCUGGGCUACAAACGUGAUACAAUGGCUGUGACAAAGAGUAGCUGAAACGCGAGUUUUUAGCCAAUCUCAAAAAAGCAGUCUCAGUUCGGAUUGAAGUCUGUAACUCGACUUCAUGAAGUUGGAAUCGCUAGUAAUCGCGAAUCAGCAUGUCGCGGUGAAUACGUUCUCGGGGUUUGUACACACCGCCCGUCAAA
rnacentral:rRNA from 1 species